AUGGCCAUUUUUACAAUAUUAAUUUUUCUAACCCAGGAGCAUGGAAUAUCUUUCCAUUUCUUUACUUUUUUCUUUAAUUUCCUUGAUUAAUGUUUUAUAGUUCUCAACAUAUAAGUCUUUUACUUCCUUUUACAGGUGUAUACCCAGGUAUUUAAUUUUUGGGGGUGUAAUUUUCAAAGGUAUGUAUUUUUGUAUUCCUUUUCUAAUAUGUCAUUUUUAGUAUACAGAGAUGCGACUUUCUGAAUGUUAAUCUUAUAUCCUGCUACUUUGCUGAAUUUUUUGAUCAGUUCAAGGAGUUUUUGGGUUGAGUCCUCAGGGUUUUCUAUAUAUAGUAUCAUGUCAUCUGCGUACAGUGACAGUUUUAUCUCUCCUCUUCCUGUUUGGAUGCCUUUUAUUUCUUUUGUUUGUUUGAUUGCUGUGGCUAGGAACUUCCAGUACUAUGUUGAAUAACAGUGGUGAGGGUUGGCAUCCUUGACUUGUUCCAGAUUUUAGUGGGAAGGCUUUCAACUUUUCUCCAUUGAGAAUUAUAUUUGCUGUGGGUUUGUCAUAAAUGGCUUUUAUUGUGUUAAGAAAUGUUCCCUCUAUACCCACAUUGGUAAGAGUUUUUAUCAUGAAUGGAUGCUGGACUUUGUCAGAUGCUUUCUCUGUAUCUAUUGGGAUGAUCAUGGGGUUUUUGACUUUCCUUUGUUAAUGUGGUGUAUGACAUUGAUUGAUUUGCAUAUGUAGAAACAUCCUUGUACACCUGGGAUGAAUCCACCUGGCCAUGGUGUACGAUCUUUUUUAUAUGUCGUUGGAUUUGGUUAACUAAAAUUUUGUUGGGAAUUUUUGUGUCUAUAGUCAUCAAAUAUAUUGGCCUAUAGUUUUCUUUUUUGGUGGUAUCUUUUUCUGGUUUUGGAACUAGGGUGAUGGUGGUGUCAUAGAAUGUCUUUGGAAGUGUUCCUUCUUCUUCAACCUUUUGAAAAAGUUUAAGGAGAAUGGGUAUAAGUUCCUCUUUGUAGGUUUGUUAGAAUUCACCUGUGAAGCCAUCUGGUCCUGGACUUUUAUUUGUAGGGAGUGUUAUUAUGACAUAUUCAAUUUCAUUUCUAGUGAUCCACUCAGACCUUUUUAAAAUAAACUUUAAAAUUAUUUGUAGUCAUCUCAGAGAGGAUCUUAUACACAUUUUGUGUAAAGUCAAAGAUGUCAUCCAUUCUGUUUACAACAGUAAGAAAAAAAUAAGGCAUUUCUUUGCUUUUUUUAAAAAUUUCUCAUGUACAGAUUCUGAUUGUUGUCAAUGACCUUCACCCCCAUCUGCUCAUAUUUUGGGAUUUAUGGAAUACAGUUGUCAUCUAAUUUGUUUGUUGAUACUAUUCAUAAGUUUUGGGGUUUGCUAUUUUAAUUCUUUGUGUAUUUUAUAUCAGGAUUUUGGAAAAAUAAUGCCAAUAUUUCACUUUUCUGGUUCAUCUGUGUUGGGCUGAGUGGAGUAGUAUAAAUAAUGGUGGAAAUACAGGUCAUGUUUUCUAUGCAUUGCUUACAGUCAGUGAUUUUUAGAAGUUCUUGUACCUCCAAAGGAAAUUCUGCAUGAAGUAGCAGUAAGGAAACUCCAUAGAGAAACGUGGUCUUUAUACAUGUGCCUACCUUCCUGACACUAGUGUUCAGUUUAAUACUUUUGGUUUCAGUGAGACACAGGGUUUUUGUUGGUUAGUUUGCUUGUUUACCUGGUAGCAUCAAAUUACGAAGUCAAGUGAUAAAUUCAAGAGGAACUUGCUUGAUAAAAGUCACUUUAAGUAAAAAAAGAUGUAUCACCAUAUCAUGAUUUUGCCACAAAAGAGAAAAUAUCUUAUUUUUCAUUUUUUGAUUGUUUUAUUGAUACAAAGCCUCUUAUUUUUUCUCUAAUAAUGAUUGUAAUGUCUGAUAAUUUAAGUGGUUAAAAUUUGAUAUUUACAUAUUUUUGCAAUACCAUGUACUAGAAACUCUCCAAAGUUCUUUGGAUAUAAUAGUGAAGAGGAGUAACAUGAUGCCUCUUACUUGAUGAAGGAAAAUAUCAAUAGAUGAAUUAAGACUAUCAAGCAUCAGACCUACAAGCAUCAGCAUGUAUUCACUAGUUAUCCCUCACUCGUAAUCAGAACUAGAGUUUUAUUGCACAGUACUAUGGAUUCCAACUCUAAUCUAUGCUUGUGUAUUUAAUGUCUUAACCCUUUUCCUAAUCCAGCAAAAUUAUAAGUUUAUUGUACAUAACAAAUAACUUAGGGAGUCCCCAUUGUAGCUUAGCAGGUUACAAACCCUACUCCUAUCCAUGAAGAGGUGGGUUCAAUCCCUGGCCUUGCUCAGCAGGUUAAGAAUCUUGCUUUGCAGUAAGCUAUGAUGUAAGUCACAAACAUGGCUUGGAUCCUCCAUUGCUAUGGCCAUGGCAUAGGCUGGCAGCUGCAGCUCUGAUUC
ensembl:lncRNA